UACAGAGGGGGCAAGCGUUAUUCGGAAUUAUUGGGCGUAAAGGGCGCGUAGGCGGCUUGGCAAGUGGAAGGUGAAAUCCCUCGGCUUAACCGAGGAACUGCCCUCCAAACAGCUUCGCUUGAGACCGGGAGAGGUGAGUGGAAUUCCCAGUGUAGCGGUGAAAUGCGUAGAUAUUGGGAGGAACACCAGUGGCGAAGGCGGCUCACUGGACCGGUACUGACGCUGAUGCGCGAAAGCGUGGGGAGCAAACGGG
rnacentral:rRNA from 1 species